UUCUCAUCAGCUAUAUAAGUGUCCUUUUGUGCUCUUCCCACAUAUACGUGUAUGUUUUAUGCUACUCCCACAUGUAUGCUUUUCUUUUUUUUCAACAUAUUCCUUACCAAAGCACACACAAGAAAAGACAUCAGAGAAAUCGAUCCAUCGCAAGACCAAUUCGAAAUCAGGAAAUAGAUGAGUGAAAUGUCGAGUAAAAAUCAUAAAAAUGAAAGCUCCGGAGAAAUACAUCCUGACAAGAAGGCUAGGCGACACGAAUUAUACCGGAUGAUGCAAGACGAUAAAAAGGAGGCUCUCCUAGCACGAGCACGAGCGCGAGCAAGUAAGGGUGAAACAAGUGGCCGGCAACUUCCUGCCUGCUCGCUAAUUAAUAGCUUUGUUACCGCAUCAUCCUCUAUGAGUGCUAAUACUUCAAGCGAGCAAUAUCUUCCUUUUGUGGGAUAUUCAAUAAAUGAAACAGGUUAGAGAGCUAAACUGUCAUUUCUUGAUGGUAUACGCAAUUAUAAAUACGUAUAUGCAUUUAUAACUAUCAAAAUUAUAUACUUAUACUUGUUAUUGUUGUA